AUUGAACGCUGGCGGCAGGCUUAACACAUGCAAGUCGAACGAGUGGCGGACGGGUGAGUAAUGCUUGGGAAUCUGGCUUAUGGAGGGGGAUAACGACGGGAAACUGUCACUAAUCCCGCGUACCAUAGGAUGAGCCCAAGUGGGAUUAGGUAGUUGGUGGGGUAAUAGCCGACCAAGCCGACGAUCUCUAGCUGGUCUGAGAGGAUGACCCGCCAUACCGGGACUCAGACGCGGCCCGGACUCCCACGGGAGGCAGCAGUGGGGAAUAUUGCGAAAUGGGUGCAACCCGUACGCAUCCAUGCCGCGAGCAUUAAGACGGCCUGCGGGUUGUAAAGUUCUUUCGGUGACGCGGCGUUACCCACAGAAGAAGCACCGGCUAAGUCCGUGCCAGCAGCCGCGGUAAUAC
rnacentral:rRNA from 1 species